rnacentral:rRNA from 1 species
UAGGGAAUCUUCCGCAAUGGACGCAAGUCUGACGGAGCAACGCCGCGUGAGUGAAGAAGGAUUUCGGUUCGUAAAACUCUGUUGUUAGAGAAAAACAGCGCAUAGAGUAACUGUUAUGCGUGUGACGGUAUCUAACCAGAAAGCCACGGCUAACUACGUGCCAGCAGCCGCGGUAAUACGUAGGUGGCAAGCGUUGUCCGGAUUUAUUGGGCGUAAAGCGAGCGCAGGCGGUCAAUUAAGUCUGAUGUGAAAGCCCCCGGCUCAACCGGGGAGGGUCAUUGGAAACUGGUGGACUUGAGUGCAGAAGAGGGGAGUGGAAUUCCAUGUGUAGCGGUGAAAUGCGUAGAUAUAUGGGGGAACACCAGUGGCGAAGGCGACUCUCUGGUCUGUAACUGACGCUGAGGCUCGAAAGCGUGGGUAGCAAACAGG